rnacentral:misc_RNA from 1 species
GACGGAGGGCGCAAACGUUGCUCGGAAUUACUGGGCAUAAAGAGCACGUAGGCGGCUCGUUAAGUCCGAUGUGAAAGCCCCCGGCUCAACCGGGGAAUCGCAUUGGAUACUGGCGGGCUCGAGGAUGGUUGGGGUGAGUGGAACUCCUGGUGGAGCGGUGAAAUGCGUAGAUAUCAGGAGGAACACCGGUGGCGAAAGCGGCUCACUGGACCAUUUCUGACGCUGAGGUGCGAAAGCUAGGGGAGCGAACGGG